rnacentral:rRNA from 1 species
UACAGAGGUGGCAAGCGUUGUCCGGAUUUAUUGGGCGUAAAGAGCGCGUAGGCGGCCCUGUAAGUCCGCUGUGAAAGUCAAGGGCUCAACCCUUGAAUGCCGGUGGAUACUGCAGGGCUAGAGUCCGGAAGAGGCGAGUGGAAUUCCUGGUGUAGCGGUGAAAUGCGCAGAUAUCAGGAGGAACACCGGUGGCGAAGGCGGCUUUCUGGGUCUUACCUGACGCUGAGGAACGAAAGCUAGGGGAGCGAACGGG